GACGAACGCUGGCGGCGUGCUUAACACAUGCAAGUCGAACGAAGAGCGACGGAAGCUUGCUUCUAUCAAUCUUAGUAGCGAACGGGUGAGUAACGCGUAAUCAACCUGCCCUUCAGAGGGGGACAACAGUUGGAAACGACUGCUAAUACCGCAUACGAUCUAAUCUCGGCAUCGAGGAUGGAUGAAAGGUGGCCUCUACAUGUAAGCUAUCACUGAAGGAGGGGAUUGCGUCUGAUUAGCUAGUUGGAGGGGUAACGGCCCACCAAGGCGAUGAUCAGUAGCCGGUCUGAGAGGAUGAACGGCCACAUUGGGACUGAGACACGGCCCAGACUCCUACGGGAGGCAGCAGUGGGGAAUCUUCCGCAAUGGACGAAAGUCUGACGGAGCAACGCCGCGUGAGUGAUGACGGCCUUCGGGUUGUAAAGCUCUGUUAAUCGGGACGAAAGGCCUUCUUGCGAAUAGUGAGAAGGAUUGACGGUACCGGAAUAGAAAGCCACGGCUAACUACGUG
rnacentral:rRNA from 1 species